CGCGACCAAAGGCUGCAGUAUAUAUCGCGGCGCCCGUCGAGACCUUGCAACAGAAGCACAACACAUCCUCCGAAAAUGAAGUUUCUGGCGUUGACUCUGACUGUCCUGCUGGUGCUGUCGGUGGCGCUGGUCGGCGCCAGUCCAGCCCCCUUGCUCAAGAAGCUGGCCAAGCUCUUUAAGAAAGGGGGGGGCCUCGGCGGCGGAUUCCACCGCCCGCCGCCCCUCUUCCACCCGCCGGUGUACGGCCACGGCUUCGGUUACGGUCACCACUUCGGCUACGGAGGCUUCGGAAGAUGAGGAGGAAGACCCGAGAUUGCCGCUGUGACGGAGAUUCUUGGCUCAGCAUCGUGACACGUGUUUCCGUGCUUGUAGUUUAGGUGUCGGUUAUUUAUUGUCAAACAAAAAACUUUUAGGUAUUGUUUAGUACACGUUUCGGAUAUGAAAAAUAAAGGCUACAAUUCACAGAA